UACGUAGGGACCAAGCGUUGUUCGGAUUUACUGGGCGUAAAGGGCGCGUAGGCGGCAAUUCAAGUCAGCUGUGAAAUCUCCGGGCUUAACUCGGAACGGUCAGCUGAUACUGCUUUGCUAGAGUGCAGAAGGGGCAAUCGGAAUUCUUGGUGUAGCGGUGAAAUGCGUAGAUAUCUGGAGGAACACCGGUGGCGAAGGCGGCAUCCUGGACCAACACUGACACUGAGGAGCGAAAGCCAGGGGAGCAAACGGG
rnacentral:rRNA from 1 species